rnacentral:rRNA from 1 species
UACGGGGGGAGCAAGCGUUGUUCGGAUUUACUGGGCGUAAAGGGCGCGUAGGCGGCGUGACAAGUCACUUGUGAAAUCUCCGGGCUUAACUCGGAACGGUCAAGUGAUACUGUCGUGCUAGAGUACAGAAGGGGCAACUGGAAUUCUCGGUGUAGCGGUGAAAUGCGUAGAUAUCGAGAGGAACACCUGCGGCGAAGGCGGCUCA